AACAGAAAGGAUUGGAAAAUAAUCGAUGCCAACGCAGAGGCUCUUGUUCUCGUAUGAGCCAUAGUUGUCUAUUGACUGAAGGUGGUGGAGAUAAUUCAACAAGAUGAUUUACAAUGUAAUUCAAGAGAUCUGUCUAGUCUGUUGGACUGUUAAGGCACCACACAAGAUUUGUCGACCAUUCUUUUCCUCACCGUCUUUUGAAUGACUAAUUCCUGAGAAUAGUAAACCGUUAUUGUUAAAGAAUAUACAGCCAAGAUCUUGCAGCAGACAGUAGAAAAUGGCAGUUUGAACUUCAGAUCAUUGUGUCAACCAUCUCGUGCAAUCCACAAAACCAGGCAGUGUAAUCAAGAUCUACCUAAGAAUGAAAAAUACUAUCAGAUACAAUUUCACAUUACAUCUAGAAAAGGAUAGCUAUAUUUAACUUGAUCUAGUAGAAGAUGUACAACUAUCAUACCCAUAUAAUGUAGAUUAACAAACUGAUUCAAGAUAAAUACUAUUAUCUUCUUAUCUUAUAUAAU